AGCGAACGCUGGCGGCAGGCCUAACACAUGCAAGUCGAACGAACUCUUCGGAGUUAGUGGCGGACGGGUGGGUAACACGUGGGAACGUGCCUUUUGGUUCGGAAUAACUCAGGGAAACUUGUGCUAAUACCGAAUGCGCCCUUCGGGGGAAAGAUUUAUCGCCAUUAGAGCGGCCCGCGUCUGAUUAGCUAGUUGGUGAGGUAACGGCUCACCAAGGCGACGAUCAGUAGCUGGUCUGAGAGGAUGACCAGCCACACUGGGACUGAGACACGGCCCAGACUCCUACGGGAGGCAGCAGUGGGGAAUCUUGCGCAAUGGGCGAAAGCCUGACGCAGCCAUGCCGCGUGAAUGAUGAAGGUCUUAGGAUUGUAAAAUUCUUUCACCGGGGACGAUAAUGACGGUACCCGGAGAAGAAGCCCCGGCUAACUUCGUG
rnacentral:rRNA from 1 species